GGUUCCUUCGGGAACUGGAGAGUGGCGCACGGGUGAGUAACGCGUGGGGACCUACCUCUUAGUGGGGGAUAACGGUUGGAAACGACCGCUAAUACCGCAUACGCCCUUCGGGGGAAAGAUUUAUCGCUAAGAGAUGGACCCGCGUUGGAUUAGAUAGUUGGUGAGGUAACGGCUCACCAAGUCAGCGAUCCAUAGCUGGUUUGAGAGGAUGAUCAGCCACAUCGGGACUGAGACACGGCCCGAACUCCUACGGGAGGCAGCAGUGGGGAAUAUUGGACAAUGGGGGCAACCCUGAUCCAGCCAUGCCGCGUGUGUGAAGAAGGCUUUCGGGUUGUAAAGCACUUUCAGUGAGGAGGAAAACUCUGCGACUAAUACUCGUAGGGCUUGACGUUACUCACAGAAGAAGCACCGGCUAACUCCGUGCCAGCAGCCGCGGUAAUACGGAGGGUGCAAGCGUUAAUCGGAAUUACUGGGCGUAAAGCGCGCGUAGGUGGUUUGAUAAGCGAG
rnacentral:rRNA from 2 species